AUGUGCACAGCACCUAGUGCGGUGCUGGGACCUGGGAGCAAGGGCCGUCCCUCGGGAUCUGCCUGACUUCUCACCCCUCUUGCCUCUAGGCUGGAGCCAGACAUCCUGCUUCGGGCCAAGCAAGAUUUCCUGAAGACGGACAGUGACUCGGACCUACAGUGAGGAGGGCAGAGGGGCACAGGGGAUGCGGAGCUGCAGCCUGCCCUUCUGCCGGCUCUAAACCCCUCCCUUGAAUGCACCCCCUGCAGGCUCUACAAGGAACAGGGUGAGGGGCAGGGUGACCGGAGCCUGCGGGAGCGUGAUGUGCUGGAACGGGAGUUUCAGCGGGUCACCAUCUCUGGGGAGGAGAAGUGUGGGGUGCCGUUCACAGACCUGCUGGAUGCAGCCAAGAGUGUGGUGCGGGCGCUCUUCAUCCGGGAGAAGUACAUGGCCCUGUCCCUGCAGAGCUUCUGCCCCACCACCCGCCGCUACCUGCAGCAGCUGGCUGAAAAGCCUCUGGAGACCCGGACCUAUGAACAGGGCCCCGACACCCCUGUGUCUGCUG
rnacentral:lncRNA from 1 species